rnacentral:rRNA from 1 species
GAGUUUGAUCCUGGCUCAGAUUGAACGCUGGCGGCAUGCUUUACACAUGCAAGUCGAACGGCAGCGCGGGGCAACCUGGCGGCGAGUGGCGAACGGGUGAGUAAUACAUCGGAACGUACCCAGAAGUGGGGGAUAACGUAGCGAAAGUUACGCUAAUACCGCAUACGUUCUACGGAAGAAAGUGGGGGACCUUCGGGCCUCAUGCUUUUGGAGCGGCCGAUGUCUGAUUAGCUAGUUGGUGAGGUAAAGGCUCACCAAGGCGACGAUCAGUAGCUGGUCUGAGAGGACGACCAGCCACACUGGGACUGAGACACGGCCCAGACUCCUACGGGAGGCAGCAGUGGGGAAUUUUGGACAAUGGGCGCAAGCCUGAUCCAGCAAUGCCGCGUGAGUGAAGAAGGCCUCGGUU